CAAGUCGAGCGGUAACAGAGAGAAGCUUGCUUCUUUGCUGACGAGCGGCGGACGGGUGAGUAAUGCUUGGGGAUCUGCCCGGUCGUGGGGGAUAACCAUUGGAAACGAUGGCUAAUACCGCAUACGCCCUACGGGGGAAAGCAGGGGACCUUCGGGCCUUGCGCGAUUGGAUGAACCCAAGUGAGAUUAGCUUGUUGGUGAGGUAACGGCUCACCAAGGCGACGAUCUCUAACUGGUCUGAGAGGAUGACCAGUCACACUGGGACUGAGACACGGCCCAGACUCCUACGGGAGGCAGCAGUGGGGAAUAUUGCACAAUGGGSGMAASCCUGAUGCAGCCAUGCCGCGUGUGUGAAGAAGGCCUUCGGGUUGUAAAGCACUUUCAGUCAGGAGGAAAGGUUAGUAGUUAAUACCUGCUAGCUGUGACGUUACUGACAGAAGAAGCACCGGCUAACUCCGUGCCAGCAGCCGCGGUAAUACGGAGGGUGCGAGCGUUAAUCGGAAUUACUGGGCGUAAAGCGUACGCAGGCGGUUUGUUAAGCGAGAUGUGAAAGCCCCGGGCUCAACCUGGGAACUGCAUUUCGAACUGGCAAACUAGAGUGUGAUAGAGGGUGGUAGAAUUUCAGGUGUAGCGGUGAAAUGCGUAGAGAUUGGAAGGAAUACCAGUGGCGAAGGCGGCCC
rnacentral:rRNA from 1 species